rnacentral:piRNA from 1 species
UCUGGUAACAUUGGUGAGUGAGGACCA